CUGGAUUAUAAUGUGGCAGGCUGGUCUCAGGGCCACUCUGAUGCCAAGAACACAAGACUUCAAAAGCUGAAUCUUCGGGAACAGAAAAUGUUAGUUUGCUUAUACUGACAACAGCAACCACGGGAUGAGGAGACAGAGGAAACAUCCAAGGUGAGAGUGACAUCCAGCUCAGAAAAAUUCCUCCCACUCCCACUCUGUGAAGUGGAAAUUGAGCCUGAGUGGCAGCUGACAAGAAUGAAUUACUGGUUGGAGAAAGCUAAUCCUGCUGCCUUAUUUUGUGGUGCCUCAAGAGACCAAGAACUGGAAGAAAAAAACAGAAUGCUCAUCUGCAUCCUAGUCCUUCUGGUACUUUUAGUUGCAAUCCUUCUGGUCGUUUUAGGAGCACUUCUAAUGUCGCUUUCUAGGAACCAGGAAGACAUUUCAAGGCUUGCAGUCGAAAGAGGCAACUUAAUGGAAGAAAACUUACUGUUAACACAGCAAUUAGCUAAUGUUACCCAAGAAAAUCAAAGGUUGAGACAUCAAAAUUCAGUCUUGAGAGAAUCAGAAGUUGGACUGCAUCGUGAAAAUUAUGCUUUAAGAGCACAGCUGGAAAAAAUAGCACCAGGAAUUAACAAUCAAAAUAAUUUAAAUUAAAAAGUAAGGAAUGGUUAAAGUGGCUUUCAGUAGAUCUGUUCCUAAAAUGAAAAAAAUUGUUAGUCUACUAGAUUCUGAAGAAUCUCUCUACAACAGGGGUGGGCAAACUACGGCAUGUGGGCUUAAACCAUUUUAAGUCAGCCCUCAAGGGGAGCAGAGUCUGGGGCUUGCCCUGCACCGGCGCUCCAGCCAGGGAGCAGGGUCGAGGGCCACUCCCUGCUGUUUCCGAAGGCAGUGGCAUGGCUCCACUCUGGCUCCUAUGUGUAGGGACAGCCCAGGAGUACCGCUGUGCACACUGCCUCCACCUCAAGCGCCACCCCUGAAGCUCCAGGGGCAGCAACUGCAGACGGGGCAGCACACAGAGCCGCCUGGCCACAGCUCCAUGGAGGAGCUGGAGUGGGGACAUGGCCGCUGCUUCCGGGAGCCGCUGGAGGUAAGCGCCACCCUGAGCCUCUCCGAGCCCGAACCCCCUGCCCCAGCCCUGCUCCCCAUCCCACCCUCCAAACCCCUUGGUCCCAGCCCAGAGCCGCCUC